rnacentral:tRNA from 1 species
GCCUAAAUAGCUCAAUUGGGAGAACCUCAGCUUAUAAAUUGAAAAGUCCCUGGUUCGAUCCCGGGUUUGGAGU